rnacentral:lncRNA from 1 species
GAUCGAGUUCGAGGUGGGUACCCGUGUAACUUGAAUAGUAACAUAAUCGGGUUCAGGUAGCGGGUACCCAAGAGGUACUACCCCGAACCUGAUAUGGGUAGUGAAAUCACUAUCCGAACCCGUCCUAAACUUGAUUAUAGGGUAUCUUAAUCCGAUAUAACCNUAUAUAACAGUAAUUAUAUUUCUUAUAAAUGAACUCAAUAUAUAUAAUGUAUAAAUAUUUAAAAACAUUCCAAGUUAAUUAAUAAUUAUAGUUUUAUGAAUUAAUUUAAUUAACAAUAUUGGUUUGUUUUUAAUUAUAUGAAAUUAAAAAAAAUAAGUUGACAAACUACUUUAAUCUCACAAUCUCCUUUUAGGUAUAUAUAUUAUUAUGAGGUUAUAAUUUUUGUAAUGUUAACAUAAAAUUGAAAGUAAAUAUGUUUAUAUUUGAAGUAUAUAUAUAAUAGUAAUUAUAUUCUUUUUAAUAUGAUAUGAUAUUCAUAUUGUUUAAACAUAAUUAAUAAUCUAAUAAUUUUUAAUUUAAAUAUAUUAAUAACAUCACAUUAAUAAUUUGACUAACCAUAUUUUUAAUAUAUUUGUCAGCUUUUAAUAAAUAUAUUAAUGUUGAUUUUUUUAAUUUAAUCAUUUAAAUAACAACAAAAUAUAUAUAAACAGGUAUUGGGAUCGAGUUCGAGGUGGGUACCCGUGUAACUUGAAUAGUAACAUAAUCGGGUUCAGGUAGCGGGUACCCAAGAGGUACUACCCCGAACCUGAUAUGGGUAGUGAAAUCACUAUCCGAACCCGUCCUAAACUUGAUUAUAGGGUAUCUUAAUCCGAUAUAACCGGGUUGGAUACCUGUGGGUAUCUUAUAAUAGGGUAUGCAUUGCCAUCCCUACACAUUAAUAUGUAAUUCCAAUACAGUGAACAUGAUGUGGAACAUGGUGGACUUUUUCUUUUUCCUCUCUUUUUCUUUCAUCGAAUGAUAUGAAUCAGUGACAUAGUAUUAGUUGGAGCUACUAUCUUAAUAAAGCUGCAUAGUACUUUGUGAUAGCUAUGCUUUUGGACCC